ACCAACCUCGCGCCGCCGGGAAACCCCUCUCUCACCUAGACAUUUCGUCGAGCACCAAGUCGAGCACCAACCACUGCCGCAGCCAUGCUCCUCGCCAAACCCCACCUCAACUCUCUCCUCCCAUCUGCGCUGCUCUCGAUCCCCGCUCCCAGCUCCAGCCAUGCCAAGCCCCUCGCCACCUCAGCCGGCCCUCGCCGCAGCCUCCGCAUCUCCGCCACAUUCGCGGCGGCGCCGGCUCCUCCUCCGGCGGCAGCGGCAGCGUUGAGCCGCGUGGACGUGCUCUCGGAGGCGCUCCCCUUCAUCCAGCGGUUCAAGGGCAAGACGGUGGUGGUCAAAUACGGCGGCGCGGCGAUGAAGUCGCCGGAGCUCCAGUCGUCAGUGAUCCGCGACCUCGUCCUCCUCUCCUGCGUCGGCCUCCGUCCCGUGCUCGUCCACGGCGGCGGCCCGGAGAUCAACUCCUGGCUCCUCCGCGUCGGCGUCGAGCCGCAGUUUUGCAACGGCCUCCGCGUCACGGACGCCCUCACCAUGGAGGUCGUCGAGAUGGUACUCGUCGGCAAGGUCAACAAGCACCUUGUCUCACUCAUCAACCUCGCCGGCGGCACCGCAGUCGGCCUCUGCGGUAAGGACGCGCGCCUCAUCACCGCGCGCCCUUCCCCCAACGCCGCAGCGCUCGGCUUCGUCGGCGAGGUCGCGCGCGUCGACGCCACGGUCCUCCACCCGAUCAUAGCAUCGGGUCACAUCCCGGUCAUCGCCACCGUGGCCGCCGACGAGAAUGGGCAGGCCUACAACAUCAAUGCCGAUACCGCGGCUGGCGAGAUUGCCGCAGCAGUGGGCGCUGAGAAGCUGCUGUUGCUCACGGAUGUGUCUGGAAUACUGGCGGACCGUAAUGACCCUGGGAGCUUGGUGAAGGAGAUUGACAUCGCUGGGGUGCGGCAGAUGGUGGCUGACGGGAAGGUAGCAGGUGGAAUGAUACCGAAGGUGGAGUGCUGUGUGCGCGCCCUUGCACAGGGCGUGCACACCGCGAGCAUUAUCGAUGGGCGUGUCCCACACUCAUUGCUGCUUGAGAUUCUCACAGACGAGGGUACCGGCACCAUGAUAACUGGCUGAGGUGAUCUAUGCCUUCAUGGUGGUUGUGCACCCAUUCAUUUCCAACUUUGUCAGACAAGAGGUUGAGAAAGACGGUGACAUUAUGUAGUUUGUUUUGUAAGUUUGAUCAAUUCAGAGUCAGCCCAGGUGCAGCAGUAGGCGCAGUGUAAUGGAUUGGAGAAAAAGACUUGAUUUGGCACCACUACAUCAAGGUGCAACUACGAAAACUGAGAUGGUAGAGCCUAGGUUCCAUUACAGGCAGCAUUUCCUCUUUGCUUUCGACAGGACCACAACCAUGACACAGCAAACUCCACUUACAUCUAAUGGACGAGUGCCUUCCUUCUGGAUUUUGACUACUGCACUUGUGGGAACUUUCUAACCGCUCAUCCUACAUUUUCUGAAUUCUGAUAUGUUUGAGUGAGAGAUGUUUCGAGAAAAGAGGAAAACUCCACCCCCUUCUCUGGUAAUAGCAGAAUAUAUUCCUCAUUAUGUUGUCCAUUUACCUUUCUUGUGUGAGACUGGUAUCGCGUGCAUAUUUUAGUGCUGUCUGUUUUCUGCUGCGCUUGAGCCCAUGUAUUCUUGUUUUCUUUGUACUCAAAUGUCCACGGCUACAAUAAGAUGGUAAAGCUUGCGAUCCAAGGGGGCAUCUUUUCAGCUCGUUUCA